UACGGAGGGUGCGAGCGUUAAUCGGAAUAACUGGGCGUAAAGGGUGCGUAGGUGGUUGAAUAAGUUAUGUGUGAAAUUCCUGGGCUCAACCUGGGGUGGUCAGAUAAAACUGUUCGACUCGAGUAUAGGAGAGGGUAGUGGAAUUUCCGGUGUAGCGGUGAAAUGCGUAGAGAUCGGAAGGAACACCAGUGGCGAAGGCGGCUACCUGGCCUAAUACUGACACUGAGGCACGAAAGCGUGGGGAGCAAACAGG
rnacentral:rRNA from 1 species